GACGGAGGAUGCAAGCGUUAUCCGGAAUGAUUGGGCGUAAAGCGUCCGCAGGUGGCAGUUCAAGUCUGCUGUCAAAGACCGGGGCUUAACUUCGGAAAGGCAGUGGAAACUGAACAGCUAGAGUAUGGUAGGGGCAGAGGGAAUUCCUGGUGUAGCGGUGAAAUGCGUAGAGAUCGUAAGGAAGACCAGUGGCGAAGGCGGGUCUCUGGACAGUUCCUGACACUGAGGCACGAAGGCCAGGGGAGCAAACGGG
rnacentral:rRNA from 1 species